AGGCUCGGUUGCUACCAUUGGCAGCACUGAUCAUGCUCAGGACCAUCUUGGAGAAGUUGUGUUUGUGGAUUUGCCAGAUAUUGGUGGUUCUGUUUCCCAAGGAAGCAGUUUUGGAGCUGUUGAAAGUGUCAAAGCCACCAGUGACAUUAAUUGUCCUAUCUCUGGCGAGAUUGUUGAGGUCAACACAAAGCUUUCUGAAACGCCCGGCUUGAUAAAUUCGAGCCCAUAUGAAGAUGGAUGGAUGAUUAAAGUGAAGCCAAGCAGCCCAUCAGAACUAGAAUCUUUGAUGGGAUCGAAAGAGUACACAAAAUUCUGUGAAGAAGAGGAUAGUCAUUAACACAUGAAUUAAAGUGCUGCUUAAUUCAUCUUGGACUAACUCGUUAUGUGCUUAAGGUUGAUAUUGUUAUAAGAUUUCCCAGUCAAUGUAUAAAAUUGUUCAAGCAUUACCGGCAUCUUUGCCUAUGCAGUUUUAUAAUUCAAUCUUCUGUUAUUAA
rnacentral:misc_RNA from 1 species